AUUGAACGCUGGCGGCAUGCUUUACACAUGCAAGUCGAACGGUAACAGGCCUUCGGGCGCUGACGAGUGGCGAACGGGUGAGUAAUGCAUCGGAACGUGCCCAGUCGUGGGGGAUAACGCAGCGAAAGCUGUGCUAAUACCGCAUACGAUCUGCGGAUGAAAGCGGGGGACCUUCGGGCCUCGCGCGAUUGGAGCGGCCGAUGUCAGAUUAGGUAGUUGGGGGGGUAAAGGCUCACCAAGCCAACGAUCUGUAGCUGGUCUGAGAGGACGACCAGCCACACUGGGCCUGAGACACGGCCCAGACUCCUACGGGAGGCAGCAGGGGGGAAUUUUGGACAAUGGGCGCAAGCCUGAUCCAGCAAUGCCGCGUGCAGGAAGAAGGCCUUCGGGUUGUAAACUGCUUUUGUACGGAGCGAAAAGGCUCCCUCUAAUACAGGGGGCUCAUGACGGUACCGUAAGAAUAAGCACCGGCUAACUACGUGCCAGCCGCCGCCGUAAGAC
rnacentral:rRNA from 1 species